UUCUGCCUUCCCUCCCUAAGGUGGGGUAAGUGGAGUGACUGUAAUGAUGAGGGGGAGGCAAUACUUCAGCCUUCCACCCUGGCAGAGUAUAGAGGAUGCCUCCAUGGCCCAAGGGUCAGGUCUGUGACCGGUCCUGCUGAGCAGCAAAAGUGGCUAUGAUGAGAGAAUAUGGUUCUGCAGAUGCUGGACAGGAAAAGAUUAUAUUCUGGCUGGGAAGCCCAUCUCCAGGGACAGAGAGAAGAAACAUGGCUUUAAUUUUUACUGCAUAGCAGCAUGAGACAUCUUCUAUAACUAUCAUCUUCACCUUAGAAGGAGCUGCUAUUU